CCUGCAAAGGCUGGAACCUUGAGUGCUGCUUCCUCAACCCUCUCAGUGACCAUGACUCAAAGGAGAGACCUCAAGGGUGCCAGGAGCACAGGUGCUUGGGCUGUGUUCCAGGAAAGAGACCUGUCCAGGCAAACAGAUCAGGCUGUCACAUGGAAACAUGAAUCAGAGAUGGUGGUUUUGGAGUGAUUUGGACAAAUUAGGUUAGUUUAGUAAAGCUCUGAAGUGGCAGAAUCUUCUCCCCUGGACUACUCAUUGAACACAGAACAAGGGAUGAGCAUGGCAUCAGACUAAGUCUUAGAGAGAUGCAGGCUUGUUUCCUCCCACAGGGCCUUGGACUGCCCUCCACAGGCAGGAGUCACGUUAAGAGGAGUGAUUGAGUGGAAAAUAGGGAAAAAAGCAACAACAACUAGAUUGUUUUUGGCAUUUUAACAUGGAGACAGUGAUAAGUGGCAACAACAGUAAAAGAAAAGAAAACUUGAAGAGACCAAUAUUUAACUUUCCCAGCCACCCAAGUCUCACACUUAAGUUCUAUUUCCAUCUCCCCCAUGAGUGCCACGGAACUAAAUAUCGAUUUUAACUCACGCAAACCAGUCCAGAACUUCUGGAAACCAAGAGCCCCCGCCAGAGCUGUCACCUCUCUUGGGUCCUGGGGAGAAGAGGGUUCAGGGAAGGGCACGUUGUAACUCACUCAGUGCAAUGCAAAGGGCAGCGGUGGUGAGCUCGAGCAUGGGCACUUGACAGGGACCCUCUUGGCAAUCACAGCAUCCGUACUGACAGGUGAGGAAGGGCACUCUUCAGUAAUUCCAACUGUUUGGUACCAGAGCCAAGCAUAUGUGACUAAAGGGAGCCAGGUCAACAGAACAAUAAACGGAGUUUCAGGAACAGGACGGACCCUUCGAGGCGGGAUCCAGGCCAGAGAGAAAAAGAGACCAAAGCACAAGGUGAUCAAGGCUGCUACAAAAGGGCUGAUUCUUCUUGCAAGGACUGGAGAAUGCACUCGGCUGCUGGCUGAUGGACCUCUAAUUGGGUCUCCGUUGCUCAUCCCGCGGGUCGGGACAAACUGGCGCCCAACGUGA
rnacentral:lncRNA from 13 species